UUCUAACCCGGAUAGAAGCGGUUACCCCACAGUAAGCAUUGGACUUUUGGCUUUGGCACGAGGAGUAUGAGCGGAUAGCAGGAAUAGCU
rnacentral:misc_RNA from 1 species